GCAGCAGCCGCGGGAAUACGAAGGGUGCAAGCGUUAAUCGGAAUUACUGGGCGUAAAGCGUGCGUAGGCGGUGAGUUAAGUCUGCUGUGAAAUCCCCGGGCUCAACCUGGGAAUGGCAGUGGAUACUGGCUCGCUAGAGUGUGUCAGAGGAUGGUGGAAUUCCCGGUGUAGCGGUGAAAUGCGUAGAGAUCGGGAGGAACAUCAGUGGCGAAGGCGGCCAUCUGGGACAACACUGACGCUGAGGCACGAAAGCGUGGGGAGCAAACAGGAUUAGAUACCCCUGUAGUCCCUGUCUCUUAUAC
rnacentral:rRNA from 1 species